rnacentral:other from 1 species
CAUACCCUGCAGUAUUCGUCAGUGAUGAGAGACCCUUGAGCCGUAAUUUAUAUCUCCGGAAGCUGAGUAGCGGCACUGUGUGCACGUCCGCCCUGGAGCGGAAAGCCUAACGUGCUCACGACGUUUCCACUUGAACCUCUGGUUCAAGGCACAUAUCACAACGGUACAGGCGGGGCUUGC